CGUAAAACCUUUAUUUCUCUUCUUUCAAUUAAACAGAAAGCUCACUCAGGCAAAGGCCCUGAUGAAAGAGGCAAAUGCAGGUUAACGCGGAGAUAACUGACAUCAACUUCCGUUAGGCAGCUAUUUCAGAUCGAACCUUUCGAUUGUAACUGAAGCAAUCUGCAUACUGAUUCCCUUUCAUAGCCCUCCAGAUCUAUAACAAGCCAGGCAGCUAUUCAAAUGGAAGUAGCAUCCGUAAAUGCGAGGAUAGUCUGGCCAAAACGGCUGUCCACCAGCGCAGACAAAAGGAUAUUUAUUUAUGUUUUAUUUUUUGGUGUGUGUUUUGGUUAUCAGCUGGAUGUGAAAUCCUUUACUGGAAAUGGAUGAAAACGAAAUGAUCUUUCCCUUGCCCUUAGAGACGAAACGACUGGAAUACACGGACUUCGCUCUUCAUAACAGGACUGUCAUUUAAUUGAUCAAAUUAAGGUUUUUCUUUCUUGUUUUCUUUUUUUUUUAUCUGUACAGAGAGUAAGCUUCGGCUCUCGCAUUUGAAAUUAUGCAAAUCUCUUUUUGCUCGGGGCGCUUCAAACGGGCGUCCGGGGCUGGAUGUUAAAAGACGCAACAUGCCAUGAAAUCAGCUAAUAAGCUACGGAUCCUGGGGGUCCCCAUGAAGCUCAACAGGGGAAAGUCUGAGAGUUAAUCUGCUCAACCGGCAGCUGUUGGCUUUUAGAGUCUUGAAGCGUCACCUUUGACAUGUCCUCUUUUCAGACCAAGACCUCCAAGCACUGACCACUGCAAGCUGUCACCACGAUGCAGGAGGAAAAAAAAUAAAAUAAAAAGACGCUUUCCAGGCAACCUGUCCAGCACGUCAUCAAAAAGUGCAAAAGAGGACGUAACAGACGGUUAGGAGUGUCCAUACACAACGCUGAUGAUGAUGAUGAUGAUGAUGAUGAUGAUGUCCAAUUCUCUUUUAAAACGGAUGUACUUAAUAAAUUUUACUCUGAUCUA